GCAACAGAAGUACCAGAAGCCUACGCGCUGAGCAUGCGCAAAGACGUUGGCGUGGUGGGUGUGGCUCCCCUCUGGCCCAACCACCGCCCUUCCUCCUCUCUUUCCCACGCCCCGCCCACUAGCGCAAAGUCUUACACGCGCAUGCGUUACCGUGGCCCGGGAGGCGGAACUGCUGCAUCCGGGUACUCGGGAGCCUAUGCUGCGCGGUGAGGAGGCUUAUGUUCUCUUCACUGAAAGCAGUAAGUCAUGUGGUAUCCAGUUCCUCCACCAUUGAACACUACGCCUUGGAACCAAUGUUGGAUUCUGAAAACAGCGGUGGUAGCAGAGCUCCUCUGAAUGCUCCUACUCCAUGCUUUUAAGGUCAACAGAGCUAUGUUCAGGAUACAGCCUGGAGCAGCUGAUUGCAAUGAAGACCCCAGCCCUAUCUGAGGAGUCACUUCCGAGUUACAUGACAUCGUAGCUCAGGUGUAAACUCAGCUCUCUCCGACCAAGAGGAUCAGGGGAGCUUUCAACCAAGGAGGCUCAUCUAAAGAGUGAGCUGCAAAGAGGAAAAAGUGCAGAGUGAUUGUGACACAGAAGAAGACCUAUCCAUUGACCUUACAUCACAGACGAGUUGACAUCAGACAUCUCUGUUGCUAGAGCUGCUGUAGAAUGGUUGCGAAUAGUCACCAGUGCAGCAUUCAAGGUAAGUAACAUGAAGAUCAAUAAACUCCAGUCUGAUGUGACAUUCCUGUCUUCUAGUAUGUCCCAAGGAACUCCUGCCAUUGGUUCAGCCAUCACCCAUGUGGGCUCAUGCCUCCACUGCCUACAAUUACUGAGCCGCACUAUGGCUGAGCUGUUACUCCUACAGCUCCUCCUGAUGACUAUGUCUCAGGUUGGUAGCUCUGGCCUGGAAAUAUCACACUUAUAAUGCUGUUUAAGAGGCACCCCUCGAUAUAUCCAGCUUAUAUCUGUUUCCUGCCACGAAGACUUACCACAUGAGGCUGUUAUCUGUGACAUCACCACGGAAGCUUCUGCCUCUGUCCCCAUGGCAGCCGCCAUAGAGAGGUGUUAGGGAUUCUGUACUGUCAUUUGGCUUUGAAGAAGCCAGGAAAGCAAGUGAACAGCACACAGAUCCAGAUGUGUAUCUGCCAAUAUCAUUCCCAAUAACCCACAAAGGUGCAAUUACUGGUGGUGGUAUUACAGUAUAAGGACUGAUGGGUGCCUCUGCCUAGCUAAGAAUGUAACAUUUGUGUCCAUGCCUAAUGGCCGCCUAUAUCACUCGUUUGAGAGUUACUCCAUUCCACACAGCAAUAUAACUCUUCAGUGCACACCUUGCUCACCAGGGUGCUGCUACUUAAUCAGACAAGCUGUCUCAGCCAUUCUCCCCUGAAUGUCAGAGGAACCAUAAUGAACCAUAUGGGGAUUAUGUUACAUGACCUUCACAAGGAAUUUGACUUCCAUAAUGGCGCAUCAUGGGAGGCAAAUUAACUAGAGAACGUCAACUGGUCCGGAAUGGAAAGAGGCAAAGUACUGCACAAGGCUACACUAUCCACGCUGUAAAAGACUUCCUUUUCAAAGGUUACAUAUCACGCAGUCUACUGUAUGCCUGCUCCCCCAAGUCCUUUCACAGCCUUUACGUGACCAUGCUCGAUUUUUGCGACCUUGGCUCAACAACCAAUCCCAGCUACUGUCUCAGGAGACUCAGCACUUGUCUGGCCCUGUGUAAAGAUGAACUAUUCUGUCUUCAACCCAACAACAACUGACCUUUACUUCAAGGUACAAUGCAGUGAAGCCAUGAUGCUUUACCAGUGGAACAGGAUCUUUCACAGCGCUUGGCCUUCCAGAGACAAAGGAUGACACAUAUCAAGCAGUCUGGCCAAUAAAACACAUGUUCUUGGGGUAGUCACCCCAGCCAUUGCCCCCGUUUUCAACAACCAUUUCAUCAAAGCACAUUAAUGGGUAAGUUUUUACUGGGAGACAUCCAUCAGGAUCUUAUAGUAAGGUCUCAUGUGCUGGAUCCAUUGUAUUAUGCAAUUGGACCUAAAGCCGAUUUCUCUGGAAUAUUCCAUGCAUCUCAUGAUCAGUGCACCCACUUCAAUAGUACUUUUUGGCACAUUAGAUUACCUUAAUUUCCUUUCCUCUGUCCACAAGCCUGGCUUGGGAAAUUGACCUCAUGGACAGCUUGGCUGGGUAGGAUUUUAAACCAAAGUCACAUGCCACUUUAAGUACUGGCACUUUUACCGUUAUAUGAUAAAAUCCCAAAAGUGGAAUUGCUGACCCUUCAAUGUAUAGAAUUGCUGGGUCAUUAUAUUGUACACCUGAAACGAAUAUCGCACUGUAUGUUAAUUAUACUCGAAUAAGCAAAAAGAGUGAAUUUUGGGGUUAAAGGGUCUAUGUGAUUUAAUAUAUUGCCAUAUAAUUUCCCAAGAGGUUGUCACAACAACGUAGGAGAGAAAGCCAUUCUGACACCCCAGACCAAGUUCAUUUUCCCCAUUAGAGGUUAUCCUAUUUUCCUGUGCCUCGUUAUUAUUAGGAUUUAUCACAAUUGUAAUAAUUAGUUUUAAUUCAUUUUGUAUCAUUUUCCUGCUAGAACAUAAAUUACAUAAGGACAGGCUUGUUUUUAUUGAACUCCAGCAUUCCAGACAGUGCACUGCAUAUAGUAGGCACUCAGUGUUUACUGAAUACACAAAUGAAACAGAAUCUCAAGUAAGUCUUGAAGGAUAUGCAGAGGGAAAGAAAGGGACUAUUCUGGAGAAGAACAAAGGUCUUAGCAAAAUCUCAGAAAUGGAAAUGUCCAUUUUAUUAUUUGGGGACAAAGUAAGUGAACUUGGCUAGAGCACAGAGUUUGUGAUGGGGAGUUUUGAGAAGAUAAAACUGGAGAGUAAAUAGGUAAAUAGCUGUACUUAAUUGGAUUGGAAAGAAGAAAUACUUGCAGGAUUUGAGGAAUAAAAAUCAAAAGGCUUUUAGUUACAUAUGCUCUCCUUAAACAAAUACUUAAAACAGUCAGCUAUACUACAAAAAGCAUAAUCCCACAUCUUAUUAUGCACUAUAGAAUACAACGAUAAAAUACUGUCUUUAAUGAACACAUUUAGCUUCCUUUAUACAAUUUCCAGAAUCAUCUGUCAUGACAAAUUAAUUUACUAGAGGAAUGUUAAACUCUUUAUUUUUCCUUGACAUUCUGAAAAGAUCUUGAUUAAAACUACAUGAGGGGCGCCUGCAUGGCUCAGUAGGUUAGGUGUCCAACUCUUGAUGUCGACUCAGGUCUUGAUCUCGGGGUCAUGAGUCUGAGCCCUGCAUUGGGCUCCAUGCUGGGUGUGGAGCCUACUUUAAAAACACGCACACACACACACACACACACACACACACACACACACACACACUACAGGAAACAACAGAGCAUAGAGGACACUGACGAUAGUAAUUUCUAUGGCAUAGUGGUAAUGAAAACCAGUAGGCUCAAUAAAAAAUGUGGGAAAAGAGGUGUCAAGAUAGGUUUAGAUAAAUUAGACAACUCUUGAAAUUGAAAUGCAAUGUACUUACCAGAACACUCAUCCUUUUAAAGUAUACAGUCCAGUGGCUUUUAGUAUAUCUACAAUGUUGUGCAAUCAUCACCACUAAUUCAAGAACUUUUUUGUCACCCCCAAAAGAAAUCCCUUACCCAUUGGUAAUUGUACCUCAUCCCCCUCCUUCCCCAGUCCCCUGCAACCACUAAUUUACUUUCCGUUUGUAUGGAUUUACCUAUUAUGGACAUUGCAUAUAAAAGGAAUCACGUGA